UAGGGAAUCUUCGGCAAUGGGGGCAACCCUGACCAAGCAACGCCGCGUGAGUGAAGAAGGUUUUCGGAUCGUAAAGCUCUGUUGUAAGAGAAGAACGUGUGUGAGAGUGGAAAGUUCACACAGUGACGGUAACUUACCAGAAAGGGACGGCUAACUACGUGCCAGCAGCCGCGGUAAUACGUAGGUCCCGAGCGUUGUCCGGAUUUAUUGGGCGUAAAGCGAGCGCAGGCGGUUUAAUAAGUCUGAAGUUAAAGGCAGUGGCUUAACCAUUGUUCGCUUUGGAAACUGUUAAACUUGAGUGCAGAAGGGGAGAGUGGAAUUCCAUGUGUAGCGGUGAAAUGCGUAGAUAUAUGGAGGAACACCGGUGGCGAAAGCGGCUCUCUGGUCUGUAACUGACGCUGAGGCUCGAAAGCGUGGGGAGCAAACAGG
rnacentral:rRNA from 1 species